rnacentral:rRNA from 1 species
UGGGGAAUUUUGGACAAUGGGCGCAAGCCUGAUCCAGCCAUGCCGCGUGAGUGAAGAAGGCCUUCGGGUUGUAAAGCCCUUUCGGACGGGAAGAAAUGGCUGGCUCUAACAUAGCCUGUCGAUGACGGUGCCGUAAGAAGAAGCACCGGCUAACUACGUGCCAGCAGCCGCGGUAAUACGUAGGGUGCGAGCGUUAAUCGGAAUUACUGGGCGUAAAGCGUGCGCAGGCGGUUUUGUAAGACAGAUGUGAAAUCCCCGGGCUUAACCUGGGAACUGCGUUUGUGACUGCAAGGCUGGAGUACGGCAGAGGGGGGUGGAAUUCCACGUGUAGCAGUGAAAUGCGUAGAGAUGUGGAGGAACACCCAUGGCGAAGGCAGCCCCCUGGGCCUGUACUGACGCUCAUGCACGAAAGCGUGGGGAGC